CACGUAGGGUGCGAGCGUUGUCCGGAAUCAUUGGGCGUAAAGCGCGUGUAGGCGGCCCGGUAAGUCCGCUGUGAAAGUCGGGGGCUCAACCCUCGGAUGCCGGUGGAUACUGUCGGGCUUGAGUGCGGAAGAGGCGAGUGGAAUUCCUGGUGUAGCGGUGAAAUGCGCAGAUAUCAGGAGGAACACCAAUUGCGAAGGCAGCUCGCUGGGACGUUACUGACGCUGAGACGCGAAAGCGUGGGGAGCAAACAGG
rnacentral:rRNA from 1 species